rnacentral:lncRNA from 1 species
AAAAGGGUUUUCAUCAGAGUUUCUCCGGAUUAGGAGUUAGACAUUUUCCCUCGGCCUGAGUCCGAGAGUAAUCAUUAGACAUCUCAUUACUAAGAGUAUGAGACCAGGGAAUGGAGAUAACAGGUGGGGAACAACAAGUGCACUCAUCCACGCACUGUGACUCAGGAAGAGUAUGAGUCCUCCUGUGACCAUCAUCAUCAGGUGAAGUAGUAGUAGUAGCUUCCCAAAGGGGACCCCAACAUUCAACUCUGUUGAACUCAUCGACAUUGGAAUGGAAAUGAACCCAAACAGGAGCUUCUUGUAACUCCGGAUACUUGUUCAACAAGUCCCCAUCUCCAUGAACAAUAGCCUUCAACACCUAUCAAAAAACGUUCAAUAGUAAGCAAAAACAACAUGAAACCAAUAACAGAAUUUUGGAUCACACUUACAAUAGGUAGCUCUUUGCAAAAGAUGUAGUAACGAAACUUUGCGAAAAUAUCUAAAAGGAUAUGUCCACCGCUGAUAUGACAGUGAACGUGAAGCGACAUUUUCCCUUUCACUUUCUUCCACUCUGCUACCACUUCAUCUCUGUAUAGCUUAUUUGCCCAUCCUUGCAACUGUAUACAAACAUUCAUUCAAAACACCUCCCAAAUUGCUUUAAGAGCAGAGAAAGGUAACUCUUUUUUGGUUACCUGAGAGUUGUUAAUGGAGUGAGAGAUAGCUAAAGUUAGUUUAGCAGUAAUGUCACUGUGAGUGAGGGUGUAAGUUCUAGGGAGCGUUGGUGGAUGCUUCUUCUCAUCAACCCCUACAAACAAUACUUUCAACUUCGAUGAUUCGAAGAUCGCUGGUCCAAACAACCUUGUCAUCUGCACGCCAGAUUAAAAAGCUAAGCUCUCACGAUAUUGGAAUUACAUAGAUUUUGAAACAGAAUUGCUUACGGGAACAAUGCCUUGGCUCUUCAUCUUCGAUCUUCCAUUGGAGACAAGGAGUGAGUUGCUGCUGUUACCCCGUUUGUCUGAGUAACCUGGUUUGAGCCUUGCCGGUAACAGUAGACUCGUCGACAAACUACACAUUGCUGCUCUCUUGAGUGUUUUCUUUCUUCAGAACUAAACACAGAGAGACCCUUUUGCGGCGAGGCUUGAGAACCAGAUCUCACACGAUCGCUAGCUGUGUUCGUACAACGAAACCCAAAUCGAAAGCUUGUGACUUUGAGAAAACCCAACUCGAGAAUGUUACUCUUCUUGGAAUUUAGGGCUCUUUUGAUGCGUGUCUAGGGGUUGGUUCUUGUGUGUAGAUGGCAUUGCUUCACGUUAGAGAUCUUCAGACAGAUCUUGGAUUAUUUUUCUGAGCCUCAGAGAGUGCCACGUGUCCUCUUCAUUUUUUGAGCCGAACCCAACCUUAAGUAUACUUUGGUUUUUGUUUUAGUCUACAUCUGAAACAAGCUUUUGUUUAUAAAGUGAAACACUACCAUCACAUUCUUUGAUCCCAGAUUGCAACUCUGACUUACCGUGUUAUGAACCCUCAUGGACAGACGAUUGUAACCGGAGCAGGAGAUGAAACCUUAACGUUCUGGAAUGUCUAAAAAUUAUGUAUUUACACUUCCCGAAUGUAGUUGUAAACAAAGUCAUCUUUAUUUGGUUUAACAACAACCAAGAAGAUAGAGACCACAUAAAAUCCAAAAGAAUAAUUUUGGAACCAUUAAGCAAGGAGUGGCCACUACGCUCUUUGUAUCGUAGACCAGACAAGUUCUUUUUACCACCACUCCUAAUCUUUCUCUUUUACUCUUCACGUUUCUCCUUUGGUUUCACGUGUGAAAUGGCUCAUACUAACUUGACUUUGGUGAUGAUUUUUAAACACUUUGAUGACCAGACAAGACUAACUAUACAGUUUCUUUGCCUUCAAAACACUUUGAUGGGUCAAAGACUCACGAAGUAUUAAAACACUUUUUAACUUAACUUUUGUAUUAAUCAAACCUACAAACAAUCAUUAGUUUCCUACACCACAUUAUGUACACCAAACCAAACCAAUAAUCUUCCAUUUCAUUCAAUUUACAAACCACCAAAAGGGUUUUCAUCAGAGUUUCUCCGGAUUAGGAGUUAGACAUUUUCCCUCGGCCUGAGUCCGAGAGUAAUCAUUAGACAUCUCAUUACUAAGAGUAUGAGACCAGGGAAUGGAGAUAACAGGUGGGGAACAACAAGUGCACUCAUCCACGCACUGUGACUCAGGAAGAGUAUGAGUCCUCCUGUGACCAUCAUCAUCAGGUGAAGUAGUAGUAGUAGCUUCCCAAAGGGGACCCCAACAUUCAACUCUGUUGAACUCAUCGACAUUGGAAUGGAAAUGAACCCAAACAGGAGCUUCUUGUAACUCCGGAUACUUGUUCAACAAG